UAAUUGGAUUGAGCGAAAAUCCGUCGAAUUUUAAAAUCGUGAGGGUUCAAGUCCCUCUAUCCCCA
rnacentral:tRNA from 1 species